rnacentral:rRNA from 1 species
CUACGGGAUGCACCAGUGGGGAAUAUUGCACAAUGGAGGAAACUCUGAUGCAGCAACGCCGCGUGGAGGAUGACACUUUUCGGAGCGUAAACUCCUUUUAUAUAGGAAGAAGAUGACGGUACUAUAUGAAUAAGCGCCGGCUAACUCCGUGCCAGCAGCCGCGGUAAUACGGAGGGCGCAAGCGUUACUCGGAAUCACUGGGCGUAAAGAGCGUGUAGGCGGAUUAAAAAGUCAGAAGUGAAAUCCUAUAGCUUAACUAUAGAACUGCUUCUGAAACUCUUAAUCUAGAAUAUGGGAGAGGUAGAUGGAAUUUCUGGUGUAGGGGUAAAAUCCGUAGAGAUCAGAAGGAAUACCGAUUGCGAAGGCGAUCUACUAGAACAUUAUUGACGCUGAGACGUGAAAGCGUGGGGAGCAAACAGGAUUAGAUACCCGCGUAGUC